CAGCAGUGGGGAAUAUUGCACAAUGGGCGAAAGCCUGAUGCAGCGACGCCGCGUGAGGGAUGACGGCCUUCGGGUUGUAAACCUCUUUCAGCAGGGACGAAGCGCAAGUGACGGUACCUGCAGAAGAAGCACCGGCUAACUACGUGCCAGCAGCCGCGGUAAUACGUAGGGUGCAAGCGUUGUCCGGAAUUACUGGGCGUAAAGAGUUCGUAGGCGGUUUGUCGCGUCGUUUGUGAAAACCAGCAGCUCAACUGCUGGCUUGCAGGCGAUACGGGCAGACUUGAGUACUGCAGGGGAGACUGGAAUUCCUGGUGUAGCGGUGAAAUGCGCAGAUAUCAGGAGGAACACCGGUGGCGAAGGCGGGUCUCUGGGCAGUAACUGACGCUGAGGAACGAAAGCGUGGGUAGCGAACAGGAUUAG
rnacentral:rRNA from 1 species